GACGAACGCUGGCGGCGUGCUUAACACAUGCAAGUCGAACGGAAAGGCCCUGCUUUUGUGGGGUGCUCGAGUGGCGAACGGGUGAGUAACACGUGAGUAACCUGCCCUUGACUUUGGGAUAACUUCAGGAAACUGGGGCUAAUACCGGAUAGGAGCUCCUGCUGCAUGGUGGGGGUUGGAAAGUUUCGGCGGUUGGGGAUGGACUCGCGGCUUAUCAGCUUGUUGGUGGGGUAGUGGCUUACCAAGGCUUUGACGGGUAGCCGGCCUGAGAGGGUGACCGGCCACAUUGGGACUGAGAUACGGCCCAGACUCCUACGGGAGGCAGCAGUGGGGAAUAUUGCACAAUGGGCGGAAGCCUGAUGCAACAACGCCGCGUGCGGGAUGACGGCCUUCGGGUUGUAAACCGCUUUCGCCUGUGACGAAGCGUGAGUGACGGUAAUGGGUAAAGAAGCACCGGCUAACUACGUGCCAGCAGCCGCGGUGAUACGUAGGGUGCGAGCGUUGUCCGGAUUUAUUGGGCGUAAAGGGCUCGUAGGUGGUUGAUCGCGUCGGAAGUGUAAUCUUGGGGCUUAACCCUGAGCGUGCUUUCGAUACGGGUUGACUUGAGGAAGGUAGGGGAGAAUGGAAUUCCUGGUGGAGCGGUGGAAUGCGCAGAUAUCAGGAGGAACACCAGUGGCGAAGGCGAUUCUCUGGGCCUUUCCUGACGCUGAGGAGCGAAAGCGUGGGGAGCGAACAGGCUUAGAUACCCUGGUAGUCCACGCUGUAAACGGUGGGUACUAGGUGUGGGGUCCAUUCCACGGGUUCCGUGCCGUAGCUAACGCUUUAAGUACCCCGCCUGGGGAGUACGGCCGCAAGGCUAAAACUCAAAGGAAUUGACGGGGCCCCGCACAAGCGGCGGAGCAUGCGGAUUAAUUCGAUGCAACGCGUAGAACCUUACCUGGGUUUGACAUGGAUCGGGAGUGCUCAGAGAUGGGUGUGCCUCUUUUGGGGUCGGUUCACAGGUGGUGCAUGCCUGUCGUCAGCUCGUGUCGUGAGAUGUUGGGUUAAGUCCCGCAACGAGCGCAACCCUUGUUCACUGUUGCCAGCACGUUAUGGUGGGGACUCAGUGGAGACCGCCGGGGUCAACUCGGAGGAAGGUGGGGAUGACGUCAAGUCCUCAUGCCCCUUAUGUCCAGGGCUUCACGCAUGCUACAAUGGCUGGUACAGAGAGUGGCGAGCCUGUGAGGGUGAGCGAAUCUCGGAAAGCCGGUCUCAGUUCGGAUUGGGGUCUGCAACUCGACCUCAUGAAGUCGGAGUCGCUAGUAAUCGCAGAUCAGCAACGCUGCGGUGAAUACGUUCCCGGGGCU
rnacentral:rRNA from 1 species